GCGAGUGAAGCGGCAACAGCUCAAAUUUGAAAUCUGGCGCAAGCCCGAGUUGUAAUUUGUAGAGGAUGUUUCUGGCGACGUGCCUUCCGAGUUCCCUGGAACGGGACGCCAUAGAGGGUGAGAGCCCCGUACGGUUGGAUGCCUAGCCUCUGUGAAACUCCUUCGACGAGUCGAGUAGUUUGGGAAUGCUGCUCUAAAUGGGAGGUAUACGUCUUCUAAAGCUAAAUACCGGCCAGAGACCGAUAGCGCACAAGUAGAGUGAUCGAAAGAUGAAAAGCACUUUGAAAAGAGGGUUAAAAAGUACGUGAAAUUGUUGAAAGGGAAGCGUUCAUGACCAGACUUGAGCAGGUUGAUCAUCCGUGGUUCUCCGCGGUGCACUCUGCCUGCUCAGGCCAGCAUCAGUUCGUUCCGGGGGAUAAAGGCUCUGGGAAUGUGGCUCCCUCGGGAGUGUUAUAGCCCACUGCGUAAUACCCUGGGAUGGACUGAGGUUCGCGCUCUGCAAGGAUGCUGGCGUAAUGGUCAUCAACGACCCGUCUUGAAACACGGACCAAGGAGUCGUCUUCGUAUGCGAGUGUUCGGGUGUCAAACCCCUACGCGUAAUGAAAGUGAACGUAGGAGAGAGCUUCGGCGCAUCUCCGACCGAUCCUGAUGUUCUCGGAUGGAUUUGAGUAAGAGCAUACGGGGCCGGACCCGAAAGAAGGUGAACUAUGCCUGUAUAGGGUGAAGCCAGAGGAAACUCUGGUGGAGGCUCGCAGCGGUUCUGACGUGCAAAUCGAUCGUCAAAUAUGGGCAUGGGGGCGAAAGACUAAU
rnacentral:rRNA from 1 species